UACGAAGGGGGCAAGCGUUACUCGGAAUUACUGGGCGUAAAGCGUGCGUAGGUGGUUUUUUAAGUCCGUUGUGAAAGCCCUGGGCUCAACCUGGAAUGGCAGUGGAUACUGGAAAGCUAGAGUGCGGUAGAGGGUAGUGGAAUUCCCGGUGUAGCAGUGAAAUGCGUAGAGAUCGGGAGGAACACCAGUGGCGAAGGCGGCUACCUGGACCAGCACUGACACUGAGGCACGAAAGCGUGGGGAGCAAACAGG
rnacentral:rRNA from 1 species